GUUGGGAUAGCGCAAGUGAGCUGAACUUCUGCGCUGCUGUAGUGCACUAUCCUCAAUUUAAUACUUUAUUUCAAAAAUUAUUUUCUAUGGGGAAAACGUCUCCAGCCUCGUGUGUUUCCACCGACACCACCAGGAUCUGCUCCUCUCCCGGUAACUAACGGUUUACUGAGAAGUUGAGAUGUUUCCAGUGACAUCCCGGCCGUCCAGUGCCCUCAGAGCUUGUGAUUUCUGAAAGCAGGUAAGCCACUGACUAACGCACAUUGCGCCUAUUCUCCACUCCACUGUGCGUGUGACAGCGGCUAACCAGCUUUUGGAUGAGUUCCUGACUUCGGCGUCCCACCGAAGAGCCCUCGAAGGCGGAUGCGGCCCCUUUAGGGGUCCGCUUUGGGUUCCCGUAGGUCAGACGGUAAAACGCUGCGCUCAAAACCCAAAGGCCGUGCGCCAAAGAAGCGUAAAAAAGUAAACCCUCGCCUCUGAAUAAGCUUUGAUACGCAGUAACGCCGUCUGUUUGCACGUAUGCAGCUGCUCUGAACUUUUGAACUCGUACAGUUAUGCAAAUCCAGUUACGGCGUCACUGUGCAAACCGCUCUGAAUCAUAUCCACACAUCGCUCGUAACGCGCUUGUGUGCUUUCAUUCAUCAUAAUCAUAAUCGCACGGUCGGUUUCGGAGAUGUAAAGUCAAUGUGUUUUUGUGCAUGCUUUCCGAUACGUAAUUGUAUUGCAUUAAAAUAUAAAAAAAUUACACAGAAUAAAAUAUAUAUAAUUUUUUUA